UUCUGCACCAGAAGGAGACAUAAAAAAUAAAUCAGCCAACCAUCUUGAGAGAGCAUGUAAAAGCUUAUUUUCUAAACUGGAGUGAACUGGAGGAGAACGCACAAGCUUGCUUGAGAGUCUUCCUUGGAAUUGCAAAUUGUAUCAGAGAAGCUGCCCAGAACAGUGGGGCUGAAAAAGAAAAGGAUGAUGGUCCCAUUUUCCUAUUAAUAGAAGACGGGAUUGGGCCCAGGCUGUGCAGUAAGCAACAGGAGCAGCUGCAGUCACAGAUUGCUGGCUUCCAACUUGGGCUCGGAAACUUACCAGCUGGUUGACCCUCAUGAUGCAUUUAGCCCCUCUGUCGUGGAUCUCCCCUUGCAACAUGGAAUGCCUGCUGGGCCCUCCUCCUGUUGAAGGAAUCAAGUUCAUCUGUGGGUUGUAACUGGAAAACCUCUCCAUGGCGUAAAGGAAAUGGCAGGGCACCAACUUGCAAAUGGCCCAGGGUUGGACAUUGCUGUGGCUUGCCUGUCACACUGACCAGCAACUCUGAACUGCACCUGGAGGAAUCAGGCCAGCAUCAUAGUCCACCUAGGAUGGAAAAGGGGAAGAAGGACUUGGGAAGAAGGGAUCCAGAUAGAGUGGAAGGGAGACGAGAGAAGGCGGUAGAGAUUAAUGGGGAGGGUGAGAGAACAUCUUAGCAGCUGAGGCUGCAAGCGCCCAUCUGUUGAGGAGGAAGUGGAAGCGGUCCAUCUUGAUUCUGCCAUAUCCUUUGAUUGAAGCUGUCAUGGGAUCAACCUAGAAGCAAGAGCAAGGAAAGAAAUUCCACCUUCUGCUGGUGGAGUGAUAGACUUCUAGCUAUCUUUAACGUGCCAUAACUGUGAAGCCACGGAGAGGAUAACUCUUAAGCUGAACUGGAAUGUACUGAACUGAUAAGGAGGGGCCAAUUGGGCAGGAUUCAGGGCUGGGUGUGGAACCUUCCUAUCUGUUGUUUCCUCAGGUUUUGCAUAACACCAAGGUCUCUAGGAAAGAAAGAAAAAUUAAAAACUGCACCCUAUGACCUCCAAGCUUUCUUCCAGAAGAAUACGACUCUUUGCUAGAGCCAGGAGACUCCCCGAUACGGCUUCUGCCUGUUGCUUUCAUCUUGUCCAUUUCGCUGUCUUGCCUCCCCUUCCAGCCCCUGUUCUCUGACCUCUGCCCCACUGACCUUCCCUCUGUUCUUGUCACGGGUCCUGUGCAUGAAAGUGCAAACGCCUGGAGCUCCCACUCCAGGGGUCUGCACAUCACCAGACUUCUCCAGGCAUUGCGAUCAGGGAGAUCUUGCGUAGCCACACAGCCAUCCUUAAACUCCUAUCACCUUCAUCCAUCUGCUUCCCUUUAUUCUGCUUAGUAUCUACCUUACACCAGCUCGCUGAUGUAUCUCCUCUCGUUUCUCCCUCCACCAGCAAUCAGAUCCCCCAGUUGUGAGAGCCCAUCUGUCUCGUUUGUUGCCCUCAUUCUUGGACCCAGUACAGUCCCUGACACUGACUGGGCACUCAAUGCCCAGUUGAACAACAGCAUGAUUUGUUUAAUAAAGGAAUGGUAUUCACUGUAAGGU